rnacentral:lncRNA from 1 species
AGUGACUCAUGCUCAGCUCUAUGUAUGUCUCUGCCCAAAACCAGCUCACACUCCAGCUCUUCCCAGUUGGAGACACCAGGAUGAUAAGCCAGAUGAUUUUUUAGACUUCUUUUGUUUUAAGCCUCAUUUUAAUAGUAGGAACGAAUCUGAUUAGCUGUUCAAAUGAGGAAAUUCGGACCCAGCUGAGCGCCCUGGGUCCCAGCUGAGCACCUUGAUUGCUCUGGGACCUCUUCAGGCAACUCCAUAAGCCAGAAACAUUCUGGGAGGGGGCUGGAGACUUCUCACUUAUAAAUUAGGAAUGACGUUGCUUACCUCAAAACUGAGCUGCGGUGAAGACUAAGCAAUUAAAUAAAACGAAGCGACGCUUGUGGAUAGGCAGGGCCUGGCCUAUGUGGACUUGCAGGUUAACCAGUUCAUCUCCAGGGCACUGCUGACCGCGGCCAAAGUUAAACCACACACGGAACAAGGGCCCUGACCUCGGUGGUGGAAGUUGGGUUUGAUGCAACCUUAAGGCUAACGGGCAUGCUAAAGAGACCCCCUGCUGCCCGGGGGAGGCUGGCACUGGGGUGGGGACCUGCCUUGCACCUGCCCAGCCUGGCCACAGAGGGUCGCCCCUUGCCCUUACAAUUCCCCCAUUCCCCUGGAGAAAUCAAUGCCUUGGUGUGGCAGGAAAACCGGGGAAGCAGAAAUUCCGGGGUUAGAGUCUCUCGCCUUGGAGCCACCCUUAGGAGCUGGAGCCUGGCUCCACCUCUUGAGCAGCGGCGCGGCUAAGGGGAUUGGCUGCGAUCCCCCUUGGACUCGUGUUCUCCUCCUCUGUAAAAUACAGAGGGUCACCGCUUCUAUCUCGCUGAGCUACCACUAAGAGCAGUGUAGACUCUGUAAUAGUGCAAAUCGCCCCAGGACGUAUUGGCUGAGAAUACAGUUGGCUUGCUGUCUGAAGAUGUCUAUGAGGGAUUAUCCUAAUUUUGCUAACUGAUGUGGGAAGACCCACCAGUCACCAUGCACUGGACCGUUUCCUGGGCUUGGGAUCCUGGGCUGAAUGACCAGGGGAAAGCUAGCUGAGCACGCUCGCGCCCACUGGCUGGCUCAAGGCCCCGUGUGGUCAUCUAUUCCAAGUCCCCGCCGCGGUGUGCCGCUCCCCGUCCUCCCCUACACUGCUUUUGUUGGGGUUCUUUGCCACGUUUUAUUCCUGGUGUGUCGGCAGACGGUCCCCCUAGCACGGUGGGUGCCACAGGCCCCUUGAAUUAUCGUCACCCGGGGUUCCUACCCGCGAGGCACGAGCGCGAGCCCUGAGAGCCUUUGCGGCUGGUGCUGUACGUGGAGAAACUUGUCAGUUUUAGUAAAUCCCGUUAAUGGUAGCAAUCACUGAGGCUGAAACUCCAGGAGACAAGGCACGGACCCCCUGGUAAGUAGAAUAGAAACCUGUUCUUCUCUUGCAUUGGCUCCUGAGCAUCCCUGGUUUCAAUUUGAAUGAUCCCCGUGUGGGGUUGGUCUUCACCCACCUGCUGCACCUUCUGUGCCCCCGGGAGCCCCCUGAAAGCUGGGCAUUGCGUGUCUGCAUCUCACUGCACGGUUUCUCAUAAUUGCACCUCCAGGAAUGCGGAUUCUAGCAUGCCGACACUUGCUGUGAGCUGUGAAACUCCAAGACCGUGUUAAUAAAACCAACCCUGGAUCACCGGGCGGAGCCAGUGACCUGAGGACAGGAAUGAGCCUUGGAGAGCACGGAGGAGCCAAGAUUUCAGAGAGCGAGGAAGGAGUACGGAGGGACUUGGAGAUUCAGGGUCUUCCUGGUUUGGGACGAGUGGAGAGCGGCAGCUCUUGCUGGGUCUCCAGCCCAAAAGGAAGGUCAGCGGGCUGUGUUUCGGCUUCUCUGACCUAGCAGGUUUCCACCCCAACAUCUGAUUCCCGAUUCUUUAUUGCCACUUCUCCCGCCGUUGUCCUCCUGCUUGAGCGACUUCUGCUGCCGCCGCCACCGGGAACCCCAGCCCCGAACCCCAGCCUCGAAUGCCUCAAAGUUCCUCAGCCACAAACAUCACAGCAGAUUUGGGAACCAUGACCAUUCCUAACAGCGGCCUUUGAGAUCUCCAAAA